AGUGUGUGUUUGUGUGUUAGUUUUCGUGUGUGUGUGUUUGUGUGUGUGUUUGCGCGCGCGUAGGAGAUGCGCGUUAUCCAUUUCUUGUCUCUCUGUGUGUGUG